UCCCUGGUGGCUCAGAGGCUAAAGCAUCUGCCUGCAAUGCGGGAGACCUGGGUUCGAUCCCUGGGUUGGGAA
rnacentral:tRNA from 1 species